UCAUCUAGUAGGUAAUUCUGAUCUGUAAGUCCACUGGACUUCAGAAAAGAAUUGUGAUGAUCGCGGAACAUGACUUUAUGUGAGUUAAAUUCCGCAAGGGGAGAGAGCUAACGACACUCUUCUCUUAACUCUGAU
rnacentral:snoRNA from 1 species